rnacentral:rRNA from 1 species
UGGGGAAUUUUGGACAAUGGGGGCAACCCUGAUCCAGCCAUGCCGCGUGUGUGAAGAAGGCCUUCGGGUUGUAAAGCACUUUCGGCGGGAACGAAAUCGCUCUGGCUAAUACCUGGGGCGGAUGACGGUACUCGCAGAAGAAGCACCGGCUAACUACGUGCCAGCAGCCGCGGUAAUACGUAGGGUGCGAGCGUUAAUCGGAAUUACUGGGCGUAAAGCGUGCGCAGGCGGCUUUUUAAGCCAGAUGUGAAAGCCCCGGGCUUAACCUGGGAACUGCAUUUGGGACUGGAAGGCUAGAGUGCGGAAGAGGGGGGUGGAAUUCCACGUGUAGCAGUGAAAUGCGUAGAGAUGUGGAGGAACACCGAUGGCGAAGGCAGCCCCCUGGGUCGACACUGACGCUCAUGCACGAAAGCGUGGGGAGCAAACAGG